UACGUAGGGGGCUAGCGUUGUCCGGAAUCAUUGGGCGUAAAGAGCGUGUAGGCGGUCCGGUAAGUCCGCUGUGAAAGCCCCGGGCUUAACCUGGGAAUGGCCAUGGAAACUGGCGAGCUGGAGUGUGGCAGAGGGGGGUGGAAUUCCGCGUGUAGCAGUGAAAUGCGUAGAGAUGCGGAGGAACACCGAUGGCGAAGGCAGCCCCCUGGGCUAACACUGACGCUCAGGCACGAAAGCGUGGGGAGCAAACAGG
rnacentral:rRNA from 1 species